GGUAAUACGUAGGUGGCAAGCGUUGUCCGGAAUUAUUGGGCGUAAAGGGCUCGCAGGCGGUUUCUUAAGUCUGAUGUGAAAGCCCCCGGCUCAACCGGGGAGGGUCAUUGGAAACUGGGGAACUUGAGUGCAGAAGAGGAGAGUGGAAUUCCACGUGUAGCGGUGAAAUGCGUAGAGAUGUGGAGGAACACCAGUGGCGAAGGCGACUCUCUGGUCUGUAACUGACGCUGAGGAGCGAAAGCGUGGGGAGCGAACAGGAUUAGAUACCCUGGUAGUCCACGCCGUAAACGAUGAGUGCUAAGUGUUAGGGGGUUUCCGCCCCUUAGUGCUGCAGCUAACGCAUUAAGCACUCCGCCUGGGGAGUACGGUCGCAAGACUGAAACUCAAAGGAAUUGACGG
rnacentral:rRNA from 2 species